UGAGCUUACAUGCAAAUGAGCACAGACAGGCAUGAUGUUUUAGACUUCAUCCUUCAUUUCAGAUUUUUUGUAUAUUAUAUAUUACUUUUUUAACCCUAUCAAAUAUGAAUGACUUUUCUAAAUCUGAGAAGAACCAAAUCUGUACUCACUGGUGUAUAAAUUAUCAUGUGACAACAUUCACAAGGCAACAGAAACCUUCCUAAUACACUUUAACUGAACAAUUUUAUUGAAAAAACAUGUGCACACUAAGUUACAUCUACUAUUUACCGUAUGCUGCGUAUAAACUUUAUAGAACUAAAAGACAAUAGACACAACAGUAAAAUAAUAAUGAUGAUAAUGAUGUU